UACGUAGGGGGCAAGCGUUGUCCGGAAUCAUUGGGCGUAAAGCGCGUGUAGGCGGCCAGAAAAGUCCGCUGUGAAAACUCGAGGCUCAACUUCGAGCUGUCGGUGGAAACUUUCUGGCUAGAGUCCGGAAGAGGAGACUGGAAUUCCUGGUGUAGCGGUGAAAUGCGCAGAUAUCAGGAGGAACACCGAUGGCGAAGGCAGGUCUCUGGGCAUUAACUGACGCUGAGGAGCGAAAGCAUGGGGAGCGAACAGG
rnacentral:rRNA from 1 species